rnacentral:misc_RNA from 1 species
AAGUCGUAACAAGGUAUCCGUAGGUGAACCUGCGGAUGGAUCAUUAACGUGUAAUAGCUGGUGGUGUCCGAAAGGAUACCAUUAGUCUAAUAACUCUGUUAUACCCUUGUGGUGAAUAUAGGAAACUAGUGUGAUUGUGGUGAUCGAGGUGUUAAAAAACCUAGGACGCCACGAUCCUCUUCUUAACUAAAAACAUUAUCAUUACAUUAUUAAUCUAAAGUAACCUUGUGGAUAAGAUAUUCAUUUAUUGCAAUCACCAAGUAAAACAAUAAUAAUCUAAUACAACUGCUAGCAACGGAUCACUCGGCUCUC